ensembl:snoRNA
UGGAUCCAUGAUGACUGCGGGUGCUGUAUGAGUCUAUGAUUGUGACUACAGGUCUAGGAGUCUGAGGUUCAC